UGGUUCAGUUACUCUCUAACGUCUAAACUUUCGACACAACUUCGAAUAUUUCAAAGGAAAAAAGACUAAAAAAAAAAUGUUCAAUCCAAAAUUGUUCGUGUCAUUUUUGAUCGGGUUCAUGGUUUUUGGGCUCGUCAUUUUCAACGUUAAUGGACACGAAGGUGGCAAAUCUAAGAAU